CAAUCUUCCCAGGGGUGUAUGGUCAGACCGUUCUCAGAGAAUUUGCAAAAACCCAAAGAGUUACAUCUCUACGGCCUCUGUUAUCAUGUUAACGUUCAUGGCCGGACAAUUAGAAUGUAGUUCUGGUAUUUUAUCCCCUGAAGUGUUUAGAUUGCUGCCUAGUAGCACUAGAGGUGCUUCCUGGGUUAGUGCUGCAUGUGCAGUAGCCUCCCAAUGCUUUCCUAUAUGUUUGUAUCCUGACACUAUAGUGAAAUAAAGAAUGUGAC